rnacentral:rRNA from 1 species
UACGUAGGGCGCAAGCGUUAUCCGGAAUUAUUGGGCGUAAAGAGCUCGUAGGCGGUUUGUCGCGUCUGCCGUGAAAGUCCGGGCUCAACUCCGGAUCUGCGGUGGGUACGGGCAGACUAGAGUGAUGUAGGGAGACUGGAAUUCCUGGUGUAGCGGUGAAAUGCGCAGAUAUCAGGAGGAACACCAGCGGCGAAGGCGGCGAUCUGGGCCAGUACUGACGCUGAGGAGCGAAAGCGUGGGGAGCGAACAGG